UGUUCGUUAUUGAGGGCGCAUGGUGGAUGCCUUGGCAUGCUGAGCCGAUGAAGGACGUGUAAGGCUGCGUUAAGCCUCGGGGAGUUGUCAAUAAAGCGUUGAUCCGAGGAUGUCCGAAUGGGGAAACCUGGCACCUGUUAUGGGGUGUUACCCUUCAGUGAAUUCAUAGCUGUUGUGGGGGUUUACGCGGGGAAGUGAAACAUCUCAGUACCCGUAGGAGGAGAAAAUAAUAUUAUGAUUCUGCUAGUAGUGGCGAACGAACGUGGAUGAGGCUAAACCGUAUGCAUGUGAUACUUGGUAGGGGUUGUGUGUGCGGUGUUGUGGGGCCCGAUUUUAAGCUAGCUACCACUGGUUUGCGUGGGUGUUGUUGUUAGGCGAAGUGGUGUGGAAACACCUGCCAAAGAGGGUGAUAGUCCCGUAGUUGAAGACUUCAGCAUCUGUGUGGUUGGGUGCCCGAGUAGCAGCGGGCUCGUGGAAUCUGCUGUGAAUCUGCCGGGACCACCCGGUAAGCCUAAAUACUUAGUGUGACCGAUAGUGUAUGAGUACCGUGAGGGAAUGGUGAAAAGUACCCCGGGAGGGGAGUGAAAUAGUUCCUGAAACCAUGUGCUUACAAUCCGUCAGAGCACCGUUUGUGUGUGAUGGCGUGCCUUUUGAAGAAUGAGCCUGCGAGUCAGCGGCAUGUCGCGAGGUUAACCCGUGUGGGGUAGCCGUAGGGAAACCGAAUCCUAAUGGGGUGAAAAGUGGCAUGUCCUGGACCCGAAGCGGGGUGAUCUACCCAUGGCCAGUGUGAAGCAGCAGUAAGAUGCUGUGGAGGCGCGAACCCACGUAGGUUGAAAACUGCGGGGAUGAGCUGUGGGUAGGGGUGAAAGGCCAAUCAAACUCCGUGAUAGCUGGUUCUCCCCGAAAUGCAUUUAGGUGCAGCGUCGCAUUAGCUUGGUGGAGGUAGAGCUACUGGUUGGUUGAGCGGGACUACAAUCUUAGCAAUGUCAGCCAAACUCCGAAUGCCAUCAAUUGUGUUGUGCGGCAGUGAGACUGUGGGGGAUAAGCUUCAUAGUCGAGAGGGAAACAGCCCAGAUCGCCGGUUAAGGCCCCUAAGGGUGUGCUAAGUGGAAAAGGAUGUGGGAUCGCGAAGACAGCCAGGAGGUUGGCUUAGAAGCAGCCAUCCUUGAAAGAGUGCGUAAUAGCUCACUGGUCGAGUGGUCCUGCGCCGACAAUGUAGUGGGGCUCAAGCACACCGCCGAAGCCGCGGCAA
rnacentral:rRNA from 1 species